rnacentral:rRNA from 1 species
GACGUAGGGCGCGAGCGUUUGUCCGGAUUUAUUGGGCGUAAAGAGCUCGUAGGCGGCUUGUCGCGUCGACUGUGAAAACUUGGGGCUCAACCCCAAGCCUGCAGUCGAUACGGGCAGGCUAGAGUUCGGUAGGGGAGACUGGAAUUCCUGGUGUAGCGGUGAAAUGCGCAGAUAUCAGGAGGAACACCGAUGGCGAAGGCAGGUCUCUGGGCCGAUACUGACGCUGAGGAGCGAAAGCGUGGGGAGCGAACAGG